GGGAUUCACAGGUAACGACGGAGUUUCCCUGUCAGACACCUCAAGGAAUGGUCACUUAUCUGACUAGCAGCUACAGCAGCGACAACAUCACCACCACCCUGGAGCUGGUGCGGGACCUCCUCGACUUUAUGGACUUCAACUCCAGGUUUGACUCGGGUGGCCCAGUAGAUAGCAUGAUGCCGAUGAUGCAGUUCA